AUGGCCAUGCUGUCCUCCCGCCGUGUGGCCGCCCCGGCCAAGGCUUCGGCCAUUCGCCGCUCGCGCGUUAUGCCGGUGGUGCGCGCUGCCGCUGCCUCGUCGGAGGUGCCCGACAUGAACAAGCGCAACAUCAUGAACCUGAUCCUGGCUGGUGGCGCUGGUCUGCCCAUCACCACCCUGGCUCUGGGCUACGGUGCCUUCUUCGUGCCCCCCAGGUGCGCAGCGCAGCAUUGUAUGCACGUGUACCAUCUUCGCUUGCGACUGGAACGCCUCUCGCGGAUUAAAGAGCGGUCGACUUCAAGUCGGGGCAAGCGUAUGUGGAUUCGGCUUGCACCACAGAAUGGCCGCGCUCGCGUCGGGCCGCGUGAUCAGCCCAGCCGAGCUGACCCAUAGCUGUCUACAUUGUUCCUCUUUACAGCUCUGGCGGUGGCGGCGGUGGCCAGGCCGCUAAGGACGCUCUGGGCAACGACAUCAAGGCCGGGGAGUGGCUGAAGACCCACCUGGCUGGUGACCGCUCGCUGUCCCAGGGCCUGAAGGUGGGAAAAUAGGAACGUAUAAUUCAGCUGCAGUUGAGUGUGCCGCGGGAGCGCACAGUCGAGGUCGACCAUUCCUCUCACGCGGUUCGCUUUCUUUACUUGCAGGGUGACCCCACCUACCUGAUCGUCACCGCCGACAGCACCAUCGAGAAGUACGGCCUGAACGCCGUGUGCACUCACCUGGGCUGCGUCGUGCCUUGGGUGGCGGUGAGUCGCGCCAAACGAUGAACCAACUUUACUGCGGCGAGCGGUCGGCGAACCCUGAAAGUCUGGACUAGACGUAUUGUUGAUGUCAACUGUAAUUAUGUCUCUGCCCUGAGUCAUUUGUGUGCUUGACACUCGCAGGCCGAGAACAAGUUCAAGUGCCCUUGCCACGGCUCUCAGUACAACGCUGAGGGCAAGGUGGUCCGUGGCCCCGCUCCCCUGGUGAGCAGCAGCAGCAAUCUGGAGCUCGCGGGGCCUAGGGGUACUUGCAACAACAACACGGGCUGGAGGGGGGUUGCAGUGAAGCGUACGGGGACCAGUAUUGUCGGUACUGGUAUGCCCGGGUCUCCUCAGGAGCCAUCGCGUCCGCAGUCAACGUCCCAAUCCUAACUUCGUUUACGUAUCCCUCCUUUUGCAGUCGCUGGCCCUGGCCCACUGCGACGUGGCUGAGUCUGGCCUGGUCACCUUCUCCACCUGGACGGAGACUGACUUCCGUACCGGCCUGGAGCCCUGGUGGGCGUAAAUCCGCUCCUGCUACUGCCGCGUUUUGACGGCGCAGCUGCUACAGCCGCGGCCCGCGUGUUGAUUGUCUCUCUCAGCCAGGCCGCUUCGGCGGCGGCCACGUUCGCUGCUGGUGAAGCAGUGGACGCGGGGGCGGGAGGCCGGAGCGUGGAGCUGCGGCGGCAGCAGCAGCGGCGCCAGGCAGUGCUGGGCGUGUCGCUUGUACGUUGUUGCUGAUGAGUGGAGGAGAUGACAAGGGCGGGAGCAGAGCAGGAGGGCCUGGGGGCAGCGUCUGCCGGCCGUGCGCACCGGACCCUGGCCGCCACGGAGGAAGUUUUGGUUCCGGGCGCCGUCGCGCUCUUACGCGCGGGCGCCUUUUCUGUGGCGUACCCAGGGGAAUUUUUAGCGUGCCGCGGUCUGGUGCAUAGGGGCGCGUGUGGGGCGCUAGCGCGUCCCGUGGCGGCGGGCCGAAUGGCCGUGUCGCCCACCCGCAGCGCUCCUUUGCCAGGGUGUGCCGACCCGGCACGCGGGCGUGUUACGUUUCGGGCUCUGAGCGGGCGGUUGCUGUGUCGGUGUGGGUUUGGCACCGGACGUAGCGGCGUGGCACUGGGCGUCGCGAUGAGGGAGAGUGGAGAAGACUUCAGAGAUUAUUGCGUUAGUGCAUU
rnacentral:lncRNA from 1 species